rnacentral:rRNA from 1 species
GAUGAACGCUGGCGGCGUGCCUAAUACAUGCAAGUCGAACGAACAGACGAGGAGCUUGCUUCUCUGACGUUAGCGGCGGACAGGUGAGUAACACGUGGAUAACCGACCUAUAAGACUGGGAUAACUUCGGGAAACCUGAACUAAUACCGGAUAAUAUCUUAAACCGACCUGUUCACUAGUGAAAGACGGUUUUGAUGUCACUUAUAGAUGGAUCCGCGCCGCAUUAGCUAGUUGGUAAGGUAACGGCUUACCAAGGCAACGAUGCGUAGCCGACCUGAGAGGGUGAUCGGCCACACUGGAACUGAGACACGGUCCAGACUCCUACGGGAGGCAGCAGUAGGGAAUCUUCCGCAAUGGGCGAAAGCCUGACGGAGCAACGCCGCGUGAGUGAUGAAGGUCUUCGGAUCGUAAAACUCUGUUAUUAGGGAAGAAAAAAUGUGGAAGUAACUAUGAACGUCAUGACGGUACCUAAUCAGAAAGCCACGGCUAACUACGUG